UACGGAGGGUGCAAGCGUUAAUCGGAAUUACUGGGCGUAAAGCGCGCGUAGGCGGUUUUUUAAGUCGGAUGUGAAAGCCCCGGGCUCAACCUGGGAACUGCAUCCGAUACUGGAAGACUAGAAUGCGGGAGAGGGAGGUAGAAUUCCAUGUGUAGCAGUGAAAAGCGUAGAUAUAUGGAGGAAUACCAGUGGCGAAGGCGGCCUCCUGGCUCGACAUUGACGCUGAGGUGCGAAAGCGUGGGGAGCAAACGGG
rnacentral:rRNA from 1 species